rnacentral:rRNA from 1 species
UACGUAGGGGGCUAGCGUUGUCCGGAAUCAUUGGGCGUAAAGCGCGCGUAGGCGGCCCGGUAAGUCCGCUGUGAAAGUCCAGGGCUCAACCCUGGAAAGCCGGUGGAUACUGCCGGGCUAGAGUCCGGGAGAGGCGAGUGGAAUUCCUGGUGUAGCGGUGGAAUGCGCAGAUAUCAGGAGGAACACCUAAGGCGAAGGCAGCUCGCUGGAACGGUACUGACGCUGAGACGCGAAAGCGUGGGGAGCGAACAGG